ensembl:snoRNA
AUUGCCCUUAGAGGCACUGCAGGUGUGGUGCUGUGUGUCGGUGGGUGGCAGGGUGGAGAGCCCUGUGUGCCUCAGUGUCCUGCCCUGUGAACACCUGAAUGAUCAGUAGCUUGACACU